rnacentral:lncRNA from 1 species
AUCUGCUUCUGGCUUCUGCUGGCUUGCACUCAUGCGCACAUACCACAUACAGGCACAUAGGCAUACAUAUAACCACCAUAGAUAUAAAUCUUUAAGUAAGAUGGGGUCUGAGGUGAGGGUUCAGUGGUUAUGACUAGCAACUUGAAUUUGAAUCUCUGGAGCUCAUGUGAAGAGCCAGAUGCAGUGGUGCACAUCUGUAUACUAGUGCUUCCUACGGUGGGUGGAAGGCAGAGAUCUGAGAAUCCUAUGGAAGUCCAUGGGCCAGCUAGCCUGGAGUAUGCAGUGCAGUGGCAGAAAUAGAGACAGACUCUGUCUCAAACACAGUGGAAGGAAAGCAGCAUCAAUCAUGACAGUUGUUCUGUCACCUCUACACACGCACCACAGCACUCACACAUGCAUUGUUCACACAUGCACACACACAGGCACAUGCAUGCACACACACACCUGUCAUCUCUACACACGC